CAUUGCUGAGGGUCUUUGCCACCUAAGGGCUUGGAGAGGAAUGAGAAGUGCAUGUCUUCUUGUGGCUGAUAUACUAACACCUGAACAGUUUCUCCUAUUGGAAUGCAACCAGAAGCCAGAAUGCAAGAACAGAAUGAAAGCCUAUUGAUGCAGUUCUUGGAGGUGAGCAACCUGGGCACAGAGCAAGACAGAGGGACAAAGGAAAGACAUCCAGAACAAGAGCACAGCAUGGGCUACUUCUGGAGAACCAUGGAUGCCAUGCAGAGGAGUUAUAAACACUAAUUACCAGGAAGUACAAUGAAUAACACAGCGGAUUGAGUCUUGUGAUAGAAGACCAUAGAUGAUCAAUUUGAUUCUGACACUAUUUACAUGGCUCUCUCACCCAGUCUCCGCACUCAAAAGGAAAAAGGGCUUUGCAGUCACAACUCUCCAUCUUAUGAUUCCUGGUUUGGCUGAUGUAUAAGACAAGACGAGGAAACAGAGUGUGGUCAAGAAUCAUGCAGGAAUCAUUACAUUCUCUGAGUCUGCAGUUCCCAAACCCCAGGCCGCUGACUGGUACCAGUCCACGACAUGUUAAGAACCAGGUC